AGCAGCCGCGGUAAUUCCAGCUCCAAUAGCGUAUAUUAAAGUUGUUGCAGUUAAAAAGCUCGUAGUUGAAUUUCGGGAUUAGUACGCUGGUCAUGCCUUUGGUAUGUACUGGUGUUACUGAUUUCUACCUUCUGAAGAACCGUUAUGUCAUUUAUUUGGUGUGGCGGGGAAUCAGGACUGUUACUUUGAAAAAAUUAGAGUGUUUAAAGCAGGCUCGCGCUUGAAUACAUUAGCAUGGAAUAAUGAAAUAGGACGUUUGACCCUAUUUUGUUGGUUUCUAGGAUCGACGUAAUGAUUAAUAGGGAUAGUUGGGGGCAUUAGUAUUCAAUUGUCAGAGGUGAAAUUCUUGGAUUUAUUGAAGACUAACUACUGCGAAAGCAUUUGCCAAGGAUGUUUUCAUUAAUCAAGAACGAAAGUUAGGGGAUCGAAGACGAUCAGAUACCGUCGUAGUCUUAACCAUAAACUAUGCCGACUAGGGAUCGGAUGAUGUUAUUUAAUGACUCAUUCGGCGCCUUACGGG
rnacentral:rRNA from 1 species